rnacentral:rRNA from 1 species
GAUGAACGCUAGCUACAGGCUUAACACAUGCAAGUCGAGGGGAAACGGCGUUGAGUGCUUGCACUCUUCGGACGUCGACCGGCGCACGGGUGAGUAACGCGUAUCCAACUUUCCCAUAACUAAGGGAUAACCUGCCGAAAGGCAGACUAAUACCUUAUGUAAUCCUUUGACGGCAUCAGAUUAGGAUUAAAGAUUUAUUGGUUAUGGAUGGGGAUGCGUCUGAUUAGCUUGUUGGCGGGGUAACAGCCCACCAAGGCAACGAUCAGUAGGGGUUCUGAGAGGAAGGUCCCCCACAUUGGAACUGAGACACGGUCCAAACUCCUACGGGAGGCAGCAGUGAGGAAUAUUGGUCAAUGGGCGAGAGCCUGAACCAGCCAAGUAGCGUGCAGGACGACGGCCCUAUGGGUUGUAAACUGCUUUUGUAUGGGGAUAAAGUCAAUCACGUGUGAUUGUUUGCAGGUACCAUACGAAUAAGGACCGGCUAAUUCCGUGCCAGCAGCCGCGGUAAUACGGAAGGUUCGGGCGUUAUCCGGAUUUAUUGGGUUUAAAGGGAGCGUAGGCCGGAGAUUAAGUGUGUUGUGAAAUGUAGACGCUCAACGUCUGACUUGCAGCGCAUACUGGUUUCCUUGAGUACGCACAACGUUGGCGGAAUUCGUCGUGUAGCGGUGAAAUGCUUAGAUAAUGACGAAAGAACUCCCUAUUGCGAACGCA